CGAGACAACAACCUAAGAUUAUUGAAAUGAACAACGUCCAUCUUGCAAAGGUGUUUGAUUUUGUUUGUUUAUUAGCUAUUUGCAUUUUUGUGCAUUUAAAAGUUAUUAUUUGUUGCGAAUUGUGCUAUCGUGUUUACGUAAUCAAUAUGAGUAAACGAGUAAAGGCCUGCCGUGUACCAGGAUGCACGAAUAAGCAAGCGAAAAGACAUUCCAUUCCUACGAAUGAAGACGUUUGCAGAAUUUGGUUGCAAAGAAUAAAUAACCCCAAGUUAAUGCUUGCAGAUUCAGUAUUAUCAUCACAUAGAAUGUGAUAUUCAUUUUGAACCAAUUUGUAGAAACCAUAAUGGCAGGUUAAAAAAACUUUCACUGCCAAGUUUACAUUUACCUGUUAAAGCAUAUAACAUUCGGUUCGUUUCUACAAUUUGUUGACUGUUCGAACAAGUAAAGUUAAAUUUUUGGAACUCUUAGUUGGGCGAACUGAGUAACUCAACUAGAAGAUCUGUGUUGUGCCAGAAACCGGAAGAAUCAAGAGGAUAUUGGUUGUUCCUGUGCAGUCCGAGCCAAUGGAAAGGAUCUUCAUUCUAUUGCUGUAAGUGUUUUUAAUGUCAUAUAGAGGAAAUAUUAAUUAUUUACCUGACACAUCUGACGAUUCUGACUCAAAUUCUUAUUCAAUUAACUCAAAUUCAGGAUCAAACUCUGUUAAUACUAAAAUAAAAUUUAACUUAGCAUCACCAAAACUUUUUUCUACGAAUAAUUUUAAUAAAAUGGCUACUCCACAAUUGCCUAUUUUAAAAAAAGAGUAUCUUGAUAUGAUACCCGAAUUUGAUGGAAACAAUGCAUUACU